AAAUUGAAGAGUUUGAUCAUGGCUCAGAUUGAACGCUGGCGGCAGGCCUAACACAUGCAAGUCGAACGGUAACAGGAAGCAGCUUGCUGCUUCGCUGACGAGUGGCGGACGGGUGAGUAAUGUCUGGGAAACUGCCUGAUGGAGGGGGAUAACUACUGGAAACGGUGGCUAAUACCGCAUAACGUCGCAAGACCAAAGAGGGGGACCUUCGGGCCUCUUGCCAUCAGAUGUGCCCAGAUGGGAUUAGCUUGUUGGUGAGGUAACGGCUCACCAAGGCGACGAUCCCUAGCUGGUCUGAGAGGAUGACCAGCCACACUGGAACUGAGACACGGUCCAGACUCCUGCGGGAGGCAGCAGUGGGGAAUAUUGCACAAUGGGCGCAAGCCUGAUGCAGCCAUGCCGCGUGUAUGAAGAAGGCCUU
rnacentral:rRNA from 1 species